rnacentral:rRNA from 1 species
GUAGGUGGGCAAGCGUUGUCCGGAAUUAUUGGGCGUAAAGCGCGCGCAGGGCGGUCCUUUAAGUCUGAUGUGAAAGCCCACGGCUCAACCGUGGAGGGUCAUUGGAAACUGGGGGACUUGAGUACAGAAGAGGAAAGCGGAAUUCCAAGUGUAGCGGUGAAAUGCGUAGAGAUUUGGAGGAACACCAGUGGCGAAGGCGGCUUUCUGGUCUGUAACUGACGCUGAGGCGCGAAAGCGUGGGGAGCAAACAGGACUAGAUACCCUGGUAGUCCACGCCGUAAACGAUGAGUGCUAAGUGUUAGGGGGUUUCCGCCCCUUAGUGCUGCAGCUAACGCAUUAAGCACUCCGCCUGGGGAGUACGGCCGCAAGGCUG